rnacentral:rRNA from 1 species
GACGAACGCUGGCGGCGUGCUUAACACAUGCAAGUCGAACGGAAAGGCCCUGCUUUUGUGGGGUGCUCGUUUGGCGAACGGGUGAGUAACACGUGUGUAACCUGCCCUUGACUUUGGGAUAACUUCAGGAAACUGGGGCUAAUACCGGAUAGGAGCUUCUGCUGCAUGGUGGGGGUUGGAAAGUUUCGGCGGUUGGGGCUGGACUCGAGGCUUAUCAGCUUGUUGGUGGGGUAGUGGCUUACCAAGGCUUUGACGGGUAGCCGGCCUGCGAGGGUGACCGGCCACAAUGGGACUACGAUACGGCCCAGACUGCAACGGGAGGCAGCAGUGGAGAAUAUUGCAGAAUGGGGGGAAGCCAGAUGCGGCAGUGCCGCGUGCGGGAUGACGGCCUUCGGGUGGUAAACCGCUUUCGCCGGAGACGAAGCGUGAUUGACGGUAAUGGGUAAAGAAGCACCGGCUAACUACGUG